AGCGAACGCUGGCGGCAGGCUUAACACAUGCAAGUCGAGCGGGGUGAUGGUGCUUGCACUAUCACUUAGCGGCGGACGGGUGAGUAAUGCUUGGGAAUCUGCCUAUUAGUGGGGGACAACAUCUCGAAAGGGAUGCUAAUACCGCAUACGUCCUACGGGAGAAAGCAGGGGAUCACUUGUGACCUUGCGCUAAUAGAUGAGCCUAAGUCGGAUUAGCUAGUUGGUGGGGUAAAGGCCUACCAAGGCGACGAUCUGUAGCGGGUCUGAGAGGAUGAUCCGCCACACUGGGACUGAGACACGGCCCAGACUCCUACGGGAGGCAGCAGUGGGGAAUAUUGGACAAUGGGGGGAACCCUGAUCCAGCCAUGCCGCGUGUGUGAAGAAGGCCUUAUGGUUGUAAAGCACUUUAAGCGAGGAGGAGGCUCUUUUGGUUAAUACCCAAGAUGAGUGGACGUUACUCGCAGAAUAAGCACCGGCUAACUCUGUGCCAGCCGCCGCGGUAA
rnacentral:rRNA from 1 species